rnacentral:rRNA from 1 species
UUUAUGGAGAGUUUGAUCCUGGCUCAGAGUGAACGCUGGCGGCGUGCCUAAUACAUGCAAGUCGAACGAUGAAGCUUCUAGCUUGCUAGAAGUGGAUUAGUGGCGCACGGGUGAGUAACGCAUAGGUUAUGUGCCUCUUAGUUUGGGAUAGCCAUUGGAAACGAUGAUUAAUACCAGAUACUCCCUACGGGGGAAAGAUUUAUCGCUAAGAGAUCAGCCUAUGUCCUAUCAGCUUGUUGGUAAGGUAAUGGCUUACCAAGGCUAUGACGGGUAUCCGGCCUGAGAGGGUGAACGGACACACUGGAACUGAGACACGGUCCAGACUCCUACGGGAGGCAGCAGUAGGGAAUAUUGCUCAAUGGGGGAAACCCUGAAGCAGCAACGCCGCGUGGAGGAUGAAGGUUUUAGGAUUGUAAACUCCUUUUGUUAGAGAAGAUAAUGACGGUAUCUAACGAAUAAGCACCGGCUAACUCCGUGCCAGCAGCCGCGGUAAUACGGAGGGUGCAAGCGUUACUCGGAAUCACUGGGCGUAAAGAGCGCGUAGGCGGGAUAGUCAGUCAGGUGUGAAAUCCUAUGGCUUAACCAUAGAACUGCAUUUGAAACUACUAUUCUAGAGUGUGGGAGAGGUAGGUGGAAUUCUUGGUGUAGGGGUAAAAUCCGUAGAGAUCAAGAGGAAUACUCAUUGCGAAGGCGACCUGCUGGAACAUUACUGACGCUGAUUGCGCGAAAGCGUGGGGAGCAAACAGGAUUAGAUACCCUGGUAGUCCACGCCCUAAACGAUGGAUGCUAGUUGUUGGAGGGCUUAGUCUCUCCAGUAAUGCAGCUAACGCAUUAAGCAUCCCGCCUGGGGAGUACGGUCGCAAGAUUAAAACUCAAAGGAAUAGACGGGGACCCGCACAAGCGGUGGAGCAUGUGGUUUAAUUCGAAGAUACACGAAGAACCUUACCUAGGCUUGACAUUGAGAGAAUCCGCUAGAAAUAGUGGAGUGUCUAGCUUGCUAGACCUUGAAAACAGGUGCUGCACGGCUGUCGUCAGCUCGUGUCGUGAGAUGUUGGGUUAAGUCCCGCAACGAGCGCAACCCCCUUUCUUAGUUGCUAACAGGUCAUGCUGAGAACUCUAAGGAUACUGCCUCCGUAAGGAGGAGGAAGGUGGGGACGACGUCAAGUCAUCAUGGCCCUUACGCCUAGGGCUACACACGUGCUACAAUGGGGUGCACAAAGAGAAGCAAUACUGCGAAGUGGAGCCAAUCUUCAAAACGCCUCUCAGUUCGGAUUGUAGGCUGCAACUCGCCUGCAUGAAGCUGGAAUCGCUAGUAAUCGCAAAUCAGCCAUGUUGCGGUGAAUACGUUCCCGGGUCUUGUACUCACCGCCCGUCACACCAUGGGAGUUGUGUUUGCCUUAAGUCAGGAUGCUAAACCAGCUACUGCCCACGGCACACACAGCGACUGGGGUGAAGUCGUAACAAGGUAACCGUAGGUGAACCUGCGGUUGGAUCACCUCCUUUCUAGA